rnacentral:tRNA from 1 species
GCGGAAGUAGUUCAGUGGUAGAACACCACCUUGCCAAGGUGGGGGUCGCGGGUUCGAAUCCCGUCUCCCGCUCCA